ACCUGGGUGGCUCAGUCGUUAAGUGUCUGACUUUGGCUCAGACCAUGAUCUCACAGUUCGUGGGUUCAAGCCCCACAUCAGGCU
rnacentral:tRNA from 1 species